GUAGGUGGCAAGCGUUGUCCGGAAUUAUUGGGCGUAAAGCGCGCGCAGGUGGUUCUUUAAGUCUGAUGUGAAAGCCCCCGGGCUCAACCGGGGAGGGUCAUUGGAAACUGGGGAACUUGAGUGCAGGAGAGGAAAGUGGAAUUCCACGUGUAGCGGUGAAAUGCGUAGAUAUGUGGAGGAACACCAGUGGCGAAGGCGACUUUCUGGCCUGUAACUGACACUGAGGCGCGAAAGCGUGGGGAGCAAACAGGAUUAGAUACCCUGGUAGUCCACGCCGUAAACGAUGAGUGCUAAGUGUUGGGGGGUUUCCGCCCCUCAGUGCUGCAGCUAACGCAUUAAGCACUACGCCUGGGGAGUACGGUCGCAAAGACUG
rnacentral:rRNA from 1 species